UACCAUGGACAUUACCACAAU
ensembl:piRNA 21ur-154 ncRNA